UUCAUAAUCCAAAAAUACUAAAAUAAUUUUCUUAUUUUUCUCAACUACCCCGCCAGUAGCGAGCUUGCAGAAAAUGCCGUUGGUCUUCUUCUUCUUCUUCUUCUUCUUCCCAGUACUGGUUCUUCUGCACUGAUAAAACCUGACCUGUGGGAUUACAAAAAUGUCCCUAAGGAAUCCAAAUAUUCUCCGAAUACCUUCAGUCAACUGUUCUCCCUCCGAUGCUCAUCUUGCAAUCAAAGCAAUCCAAUAUCUCAAACGCCACCCUUACCAGCUUGACUCUCUUUCUUCCGAUUUUACCCCUGAUGCAGCCUCCUAUUUACUCCUCAAGUCCCAAUUGGACAAAACCCUGAUCUUGAGCUUCCUCCACUGGGCUCGGACCCGCAAAUUCUUCACCUUCCGCUGCAAGUGCCUCGCCCUCCACAUCCUCACCCGCUUCAAGCUCUACAAGAGCGCCCAAACCCUCGCCGAGGACGUGGCCCUCAAUACCAUAUCCGAAGACGAAGGUGGAAAUUUGGUCUUUGACUGUCUCAGCGAGUCUUUCCAGCUCUGCAAUUCGAGCUCCGCAGUUUUCGACUUGGUGGUCAAAUCUUACUGCCACUUGAAACUGACGAGUAAGGCUCUCAACAUCGUUAACUUGGCCAAGUCUCGUGGUUUUAUGCCUGGUGUUUUGUCGUAUAAUGCUAUUAUAGACUCCAUAAUCAGGUCCAGAGGGUCGGUUAAAGAGGCGGAGGAGGUUUUUAUUGAGAUGCUUAAAAAUGGGGUCUCGCCAAAUGUGUUCACUUACAACAUUCUGAUUCGGGGUUUUUCUGGGGCUGGGAAUUUGGAUAUGGUUUUGCAUUUUUUCGCCCAAAUGGAGAAAAAUGGGUGCUUACCUAACGUGGUUACAUAUAAUACCUUGAUUGAUGGAUAUUGUAAAAUGAAUAAGUUGGAUGAGGCUUUCGAGUUGUUAAGGUCGAUGGCUUUGAAGGGUUUGGAGCCAAAUUUGAUUUCGUAUAACGUUGUAAUCAAUGGAUUGUGUCGACAUGGGAGGUUGAAGGAGACAGGUAAGUUUCUUGAGGAGAUGAAAAGGAAGGGGUACGUGCCUGACGAGGUUACUUACAACACUCUCGUUAGUGGAUAUUGCAAGGACGAUAAUUUUCACCAAGCUCUUAUUUUGCAUUCUGAGAUGGUUAGGAAUGGCUUGUCUCCCAAUGUUGUUACUUAUACAGCAUUGAUAAGUAGUAUGUGUAAGGCUAGAAAUUUGAAUAGGGCAUUGGAGUUUUUUGAUCAGAUGCGGGUUAGAGGACUUUAUCCUAACGAGAGGACUUAUACAACACUGAUUGAUGGUUUCUCUCAACAAGGGUUCUUAGAUGAAGCUUACAGGUUUCUGAAAGAGAUGACUUCUAUUGGAUUGUCACCUUCGAUUGUGACUUAUAACGCCAUUAUUAAUGGCCACUGCAUUUUAGGAAAGAUGGAAGAAGCCAUGGGAGUCAUGCGAAACAUGGUGGAAAAGGGAUUAACUCCAGAUGUGAUUAGUUAUAGUACUGUUAUAUCUGGGUUUUGCAGGCAUCAGGAGUUGGAGAAAGCAUUUCAAACGAAGUUGGAAAUGGUUGAGAAGGGUAUAUUUCCAGAUGCUAUCACCUAUUCAUCACUUAUUCAAGGUCUUUGUCAGCAGGGGAAACUUGAUGAAGCCUGCAACAUAUUUCAAGAGAUGGUUAGUAUGGGUUUGCCUCCUGAUGAAUUCACAUACACGACCUUGAUCAAUGCUUAUUGUGUAGAAGGGGACUUGAAUAGAGCCCUUCAAGUACAUGAUGAAAUGGUACGAAAGGGUUUUCUCCCUGAUGUUGUUACCUACAGCGUGCUUAUUAAUGGACUUAACAAACAAGCUCGGACAAGGGAAGCAAAGAGGCUUUUGCUUAAGCUUUUCUAUGAUGAGUCUGUCCCAAAUGAUGUCACUUAUAAUACGCUUAUAGAAAAUUGUUGUAGUACUGAAUUUAGAAGUGUGGUAGCUCUUGUCAAGGGAUUUUGCAUGAAAGGUUUGAUGGAUGAAGCAGAUCGAGUUUUUGAGACAAUGCUUAAAAGGAAUUACAAGCCCGACGAGUCAGUUUACAAUGUCCUUAUACAUGGUCAUUGCCGUAAUGGAAAUGUUGAAAAGGCAUAUAACCUGUACAAGGAAAUGUUGAGUUUUGGUUUUGUUCCUCAUACUGUAACAUUAAUAGCACUAAUUAAAGCUCUUUUUACUGAAGAGAUGAACAAUGAACUGAAUCAAGUCAUAACCAAAACAUUGAGAAGCUGCCGGCUUAGUGAUGCUGAGCUCGCAAAAUUACUUGUUGAAAUCAACCAGAAGGAAGGAAAUAUGGAUGCAGUUUUCAAUGUGCUUGCUGACAUGGCCAAGGAUGGCCUUCUUCCAAACAGUGGCCUCAAUGCUUAUGCUGGACGAAAAGAACUAUGAAAUUCUCAACUGUAAACAGAGUUCAUUAAGGUAACCAUUGACCUAGGAGAAGAUGAAGAUGGUAGGUUGAGUUGACAAAUGAUUUGCUGCGGUAUUACGAUUUUAUCAAAAAGAGCUCAGCGUUGAGAAAAUUGUUUUCAAUGAUGAGAUCAAGCAGGAGUUAAAAGUUUCAGUUUUAAGAGCGCGUAAAGGCUCCUGGGAAGUGUCAUCUUGUUGAACCCGCUAAAAAAGGCACAGCUGCCAGAGCUAAAAACUCAAGUAAAUAGAAUGUUGACGAGGGCCUCUUAACUUAGAUCAUGCAGCCAAUUGUUUGACAAGACUCAUUUUAUGGCUGAAACCUUGUUACUCAUUUACUGGAAUCACUCGUUAGACUUAGGGGACUAACGUCACAUUUAGUUCCCAAGUCACAGAGGGAGAACCUCGGAGUUAAAGUAAGGGGAUGUAAUUUUUUUUUGGUAAGGGAGGUUGGACAAAAAUAAACUUAAAAUGAAAAAAAAAAAUGUUUUUAGUGGGAUUAAAACCCUUGUCUUCAACCUAUAUUUUAAAUAGCUUAACUAUUAUACCAAAGUUAAUAUUAUGUUUGUAAAUAUCAUCUUUUACUACAAAUAUCUGUUGUAACUAAUUAAAA